UACGUAGGGUGCGAGCGUUAAUCGGAAUUACUGGGCGUAAAGCGUGCGUAGGCGGUUCGUUAAGUGCGUCGUGAAAGCCCCGGGCUCAACCUGGGAAUGGCGAUGGAAACUGGCGGGCUGGAGUAUGGCAGAGGGGGGUGGAAUUCCGCGUGUAGCAGUGAAAUGCGUAGAGAUGCGGAGGAACACCGAUGGCGGAAGGCAGCCCCCUGGGCCAAUACUGACGCUCAUGCACGAAAGCGUGGGGAGCAAACAGG
rnacentral:rRNA from 1 species